rnacentral:rRNA from 1 species
UACGUAGGGAGCAAGCGUUGUCCGGAAUCAUUGGGCGUAAAGCGCGCGUAGGUGGCCUCAUAAGUCCGCUGUGAAAGUCAAAGGCUCAACCUUUGAAAGCCGGUGGAUACUGUGGGGCUAGAGUACGGAAGAGGCGAGUGGAAUUCCUGGUGUAGCGGUGGAAUGCGCAGAUAUCGGGAGGAACACCGGUGGCGAAGGCGGCGACCUGGGUCGAUACUGACGCUGAGGUGCGAAAGCGUGGGGAGCAAACAGG